UACGUAGGGUGCAAGCGUUUGUCCGGAAUUAUUGGGCGUAAAGAGCUCGUAGGCGGUUCGGCAAGUCGAACGUGAAAUCUCCACGCUCAACGUGGAGGGGGUCGUUCGAUACUGCCGUGACUCGAGUCCGGUAGGGGAGUGUGGAAUUCCCGGUGUAGCGGUGAAAUGCGCAGAGAUCGGGAGGAACACCCGUAGCGAAGGCGGCUCUCUGGUACGUGACUGACGCUGAGACGCGAAAGCGUGGGGAGCAAACAGG
rnacentral:rRNA from 1 species